GAUGAACGCUGGCGGCGUGCCUAAUACAUGCAAGUCGAGCGAACAGACGAGGAGCUUGCUCCUCUGACGUUAGCGGCGGACGGGUGAGUAACACGUGGAUAACCUACCUAUAAGACUGGGAUAACUUCGGGAAACCGGAGCUAAUACCGGAUAAUAUAUUGAACCGCAUGGUUCAAUAGUGAAAGACGGUUUUGCUGUCACUUAUAGAUGGAUCCGCGCCGCAUUAGCUAGUUGGUAAGGUAACGGCUUACCAAGGCAACGAUGCGUAGCCGACCUGAGAGGGUGAUCGGCCACACUAGAACUUAGACACGGUCCAGACUCCUACGGUAGGCAGCAGUAGGGAAUCUUCCGCAAUGGGCGAAAGCUUGACGGAGCAACGCCGCGUGAGUGAUGAAGGUCUUCGGAUCGUAAAACUCUGUUAUUAGGGAAGAACAAAUGUGUAAGUAACUAUGCACGUCUUGACGGUACCUAAUCAGAAAACCACGGCUAACUACGUG
rnacentral:rRNA from 1 species